CGGCUGUACGGUGGUUGGAGGAGCCGACCGACCUAAAGUCGGUAGCCAGCUGAGUGGUGUCGGGCCCCUCCAUCGGUCGGCGAGCUUCAUGUAAGUCGGCCAUAUAACCUCGAGGUUCAGUCGGUCGGGAUGGAUACGCCCGACAUACCCCCAGUCGGCGAUGGGCCGUUGGACGGCCGGCGGUUAGCCGCUGAUGGCAUCCGUCAGUCGGUCGCCCCGACCGACGAUCGG
rnacentral:lncRNA from 1 species